rnacentral:tRNA from 1 species
GGGGUUGUGACUCAGUGGUAGAGUGCUUGCCUAGCAUGCGUGAGGCACUGGGUUCGAUCCUCAGCACCACA